rnacentral:rRNA from 1 species
AUUGAACGCUGGCGGCAUGCCUUGCACAUGCAAGUCGAACGGCAGAGCGGGCCUCGGCCUGGCGGCGAGUGGCGGACGGGUGAGUAAUACAUAGGAACGUGCCCGGUAGUGGGGGAUAGCUCGGCGAAAGCCGGGCUAAUACCGCAUACGACCUGAGGGUGAAAGCGGGGGAUCUUCGGACCUCACGCUAUUGGAGCGGCCGAUGGCGGAUUAGCUAGUUGGUGGGGUAUAGGCCUACCAAGGCGACGAUCCGUAGCUGGUCUGAGAGGACGACCAGCCACACUGGGACUGAGACACGGCCCAGACUCCUACGGGAGGCAGCAGUGGGGAAUUUUGGACAAUGGGCGAAAGCCUGAUCCAGCAAUGCCGCGUGUGUGAUGAAGGCCUUCGGGCUGUAAAGCACUUUUGGCGGGAACGAAAAGGACUGUGCCAAUACCACGGUUCGAUGACGGUACCCGCAGAAUAAGCACCGGCUAACUACGUG